UCCUGGCUCAGAACGAACGCUGGCGGCGCGUCUUAAGCAUGCAAGUCGAACGGCAAGAGGUAGCAAUACCUCCUAGAGUGGCGGACUGGUGAGUAACACGUGGGUGACAUACCCUUCAGAUGGGGAUAGCUAUUAGAAAUAGUAGAUAAUACCGAAUACGAGCACAGGGGUUAGAGAUCUGUGAGGAGAGGAGCUAAGGCUCCGCUGAAGGAAUGGCCUGCGGCCCAUUAGCUAGUUGGUGAGGUAAGAGCCCACCAAGGCGAUGAUGGGUAUCCGGCCUUAGAGGGUGAACGGACACAUUGGGACUGAGAUACGGCCCAGACUCCUACGGGAGGCAGCAGCUAAGAAUAUUCCGCAAUGGACGAAAGUCUGACGGAGCGACGCCGCGUGGAUGAAGAAGGCCGGAAGGUUGUAAAAUCCUUUUGAAACUGAAGAAUAAGCGUUGUAGGGAAUGACAGCGUGGUGACAGUAGGUUUUGAAUAAGCAACGGCUAAUUACGUGCCAGCCGCCGC
rnacentral:rRNA from 1 species